rnacentral:rRNA from 1 species
AUUGAACGCUGGCGGCAUGCCUUACACAUGCAAGUCGAACGGUAACAGGUUAAGCUGACGAGUGGCGAACGGGUGAGUAAUAUAUCGGAACGUGCCCAGUCGUGGGGGAUAACGUAGCGAAAGCUACGCUAAUACCGCAUACGAUCUACGGAUGAAAGCGGGGGAUCGCAAGACCUCGCGCGGUUGGCGCGGCCGAUAUCAGAUUAGGUUGUUGGUGGGGUAAAAGCGCCCCAAGCCUGCGAUCUGUAGCUGGUCUGAGAGGACGACCAGCCAAACUGGAACGGAGACACGGUCCAGACUCCUACGGGAGGCAGCAGUGGGGAAUUUUGGACAAUGGACGCAAGUCUGAUCCAGCAAUGCCGCGUGCAGGACGAAGGCCUUCGGGUUGUAAACUGCUUUUGUACGGAACGAAACGGUGAGCUCUAAUACAGUUUGCUAAUGACGGUACCGUAAGAAUAAGCACCGGCUAACUACGUGCCAGCCGCCGCAGUAA